rnacentral:rRNA from 1 species
CGGAGGGGCGAGCGUUACUCGUAAGUAUUGGGCGUAAAGGGUUUGUAGGUGGCUCCGUUCGAGCUAGUCCGAGGUCGACCCGGGUGGACCACCCGGUCGGAUCGACCAGAAGUACCGAGUAGUCCGGAGGUACAAGGUACCCUUGAUGGAGGGUAGAAUCCAAAAGAUCAAUGGGGACCCCCGCGGCGAAGGCGUUGCACCCGGACCUCCAACACUGAAGAACGAAAGCGUGGGAGCGAACAGGAUU